UACGUAGGUCCCGAGCGUUGUCCGGAUUUAUUGGGCGUAAAGCGAGCGCAGGUGGUUUAUUAAGUCUGGUGUAAAAGGCAGUGGCUCAACCAUUGUAUGCAUUGGAAACUGAUAGACUUGAGUGCAGGAGAGGAGAGUGGAAUUCCAUGUGUAGCGGUGAAAUGCGUAGAUAUAUGGAGGGACACCGGUGGCGAAAGCGGCUCUCUGGCCUGUAACUGACACUGAGGCUCGAAAGCGUGGGGAGCAAACAGG
rnacentral:rRNA from 1 species